CCAGCUGAACUGAAUGAACGCAAUCAGCGCGGAAGCUGGGAACGCUUAAAACGGCGUUUCACCACUGCGUGUGUAAGAACUGAGCUGGAUGACGGCAGUUUCCACGAACUUGGAUGCUAAACUCAAACCACUGCGUGAGUGGGGCUUGGACUAUAAAGGGCUACUGGUUUUUCACCUAUCCCCACUACUUCCUACUUCCUACUUCCUAUUUUCAACAAUGUUCAAUAACUUCCAACUACUACCACCUACUGCCAACUACUGUUGCUAAUAAAAGACUUGGAAAGAGUGAAA